AACGCACAUUGCGCCCCUUGGUAUUCCGAGGGGCAUGCCUGUUCGAGCGUCAUUUCACCCAUCAAGCCCCGCUUGGUAUUGGGCGCAGGCCGGCGGAGGGGACCCCCCAGGGGGCCCCCCCUGCCGGCCCGCCCGGAAUGCAUCGGCGAGGCACCGACCCCCGGCGUGUUAGAAUACUCGAAACGUCGGGAGCACCGGUCUGACCUCUCUGCCGUCGAAACCAGGCGGACGCCCGCGUCCGCCGGACCCCACAAGGUUGACCUCGGAUCAGGUAGGAAUACCCGCUGAACUUAA
rnacentral:misc_RNA from 1 species